GACGAACGCUGGCGGCGUGGCUAAUACAUGCAAGUUGAGCGCUGAAGGUUGGUACUUGUACCGACUGGAUGAGCAGCGAACGGGUGAGUAACGCGUGGGGAAUCUGCCUUUGAGCGGGGGACAACAUUUGGAAACGAAUGCUAAUACCGCAUAAAAACUUUAAACACAAGUUUUAAGUUUGAAAGAUGCAAUUGCAUCACUCAAAGAUGAUCCCGCGUUGUAUUAGCUAGUUGGUGAGGUAAAGGCUCACCAAGGCGAUGAUACAUAGCCGACCUGAGAGGGUGAUCGGCCACAUUGGGACUGAGACACGGCCCAAACUCCUACGGGAGGCAGCAGUAGGGAAUCUUCGGCAAUGGACGAAAGUCUGACCGAGCAACGCCGCGUGAGUGAAGAAGGGUUUCGGAUCGUAAAACUCUGUUGGUAGAGAAGAACGUUGGUGAGAGUGGAAAGCUCAUCAAGUGACGGUAACUACCCAGAAAGGGACGGCUAACUACGUG
rnacentral:rRNA from 1 species